rnacentral:rRNA from 1 species
UUUCCAGACUCCUACGGGAGGCAGCAGUGGGGAAUAUUGCACAAUGGGGGAAACCCUGAUGCAGCGACGCCGCGUGAGCGAUGAAGUAUUUCGGUAUGUAAAGCUCUAUCAGCAGGGAAGAAGAUGACGGUACCUGACUAAGAAGCCCCGGCUAACUACGUGCCAGCAGCCGCGGUAAUACGUAGGGGGCAAGCGUUAUCCGGAUUUACUGGGUGUAAAGGGAGCGUAGACGGCAUGGCAAGUCAGAUGUGAAAGCCCGGGGCUCAACCCCGGGACUGCAUUUGAAACUGUCAGGCUGGAGUGCAGGAGAGGUAAGUGGAAUUCCUAGUGUAGCGGUGAAAUGCGUAGAUAUUAGGAGGAACACCAGUGGCGAAGGCGACUAUCUGGCACAUAACUGACGCUGAGGAGCGAAAGCGUGGGUAGCAAACAGGAUUAGAUACCCGGGUAAUU